UAUUUAAUUAAUUCUAUUAGUAGUUAUAUAUUUAUUUUAAAGAUUAAACUAUAUAUAUUUAAAUUUAAGUAAUUAAAUUACGAAAUUGUAAAUAGUUUAUUAAAUUAAUUAUAGUUUAUUUAAUAGUACUUUAUUAUAUAGAUAACCGUAGUAAUUCUAGAGUUAAUAUAUGUUAAAAACCUUGAUUUUGGAAGGGGUGUAUUUAUUAGAUUAAAAACUAAUACCCUUCGGGGCUAAUUAAUAAUUUAUAAUAACUUUUCGAAUUGUAUAGCCUUACGCUAGUAAUAAUUUAUUUAAAUUUUUGCCUUAUUAACUUUCAACGGCUAGAUUUUGGCUAGUUAUAGUAAUAAUGGGUAAUGGAGGGUUAGGGCUCGACCCCGGAGAAGGAGUUUGAGAAACGGCUAUUAUAUUUAAGGAAGGUAGUAGGUAUAUAAAUUACCUAAUCCCGAUACGGGGAGGUAAUAAUAAUAAAUAUUAAUAUAGGGCUCUUUUAAGUCUUAUAAUUAAAAUAAGUAUAAUUUAAAUCCCUUAACGAAGAAUAAUUAGAGGGUAAAUCUAGUGCUAAUAGCCGCGGUAAUUUUAAUUUUAAUAGUGUAUAUUAAAGUUAUUGAGGUUAAAAAGUUUAUAAUUAAACUUUAAGCUCAGCCCGUCGGUCCGCUUUACUACGUAUAUUAAUUAGGUUGGGCCUUUUUUUUUAGAGAACUAUAUACCCUUUAUUAAGUAUAUUGGGGAACUAGAACUUUUAUUAUAAAUAAAUUAAAUUGCUUAAAGAAGGCCUAUAUUCGAAUAUAUUAGUAUAGAAUAAUAAAAUAGGAUAUAUAGUUCUAUUUUAUUAGUUUCUAGGACUGCUAUAAUAAUUAAUAAGGAUAGUUGGGGGUAUUAGUAUUUAAUUGUUAGAGGUGAAAUUCUUAGAUUUAUUAAAGACUAACUACUAUAAAAGUAUUUAUUAAGGAUGUUUUUAUUAAUUAGGAACGAAAGUUAGGGGAUUAAAGAUAAUUAAAUACCAUUGUAGUUUUAACUAUAAACUAUACUAAUUAGGGAUCGGACAGUAUUAUUUUUUAACCCGUUCGGCACCUUAUAAUAAAUUAAAAUAUUUAGACUCUUAGAGGAGUAUAGUUGUAAGGCUGAAAUUUAAAGAAAUUAAUAGAAGGGUACUACUAAGGGUAGAGCUUAUAGUUUAAUUUAAUUUAAUACGGGGAAAUUUACUAGGUUUAAAUACGAUAAGGAUUAAUAAAUUGAAAGCUCUUUCUUAAUUUUAUAGGUAGUAGUAUAUAGCCGUUCUUAAUUAGUAGAGUAAUUUAUCUAUUUAAUUGCAAUAAUAAACGAGACUUUAAUUUACUAAAUAAUUUGUAUUACUUUAGUAGUACGCUGGCUUUUUAGAGGGACUAUCGGUUUAAGCUAAUAGAAAUUUAAAGUAAUAAUAGGUUUAUAAUACCUUUAAAUAUUUUAGGCUAUAUACGUACUAUAUUAAUAUAGUUAAUAAAUAUUCCCUUAGCUAGAAGGUCCGGGUAAUUUUAUUAAAUUAUAUUAUAUUAGGGAUAGAGUAUUACAAUUAUUACUUUUUAAUAAGGAAUCCCUAAUAAACGUAAAUUAUUAAUUUAUAUUAAUUACGUCCCUACCCUUUAUAUAUACCGCCCGUUACUACUAUUAAUUAAAUAGCUUAAUAAAGUUUCCGGAUUAGUCUAAGGAGGUUGGUAACGAUUAUUUAGGGCUGGAAAAUUAUUUAAAUUUAGUUAUUUAAAGGAAGUAAAAAUUGUAAUAAGGUUUCUAUUAGUAAAUUAGCGGAGGGAUUAUUA
rfam:Neurospora crassa OR74A unplaced genomic scaffold supercont12.9, whole genome shotgun sequence.